UUCAAGCUCUGUGACACAAACUGCCAAUUCAGAGGUGAAGCCAAAACCUGAACCAAAGGAAGAGAAGAAGAGAAAAACUUGGAACAUUAGGGUUCUAAAACCUCAGCAAGGACACACUUCUCCACCUCUACCGGACAGAACAAGGUCCAAGAAGCCAAACUCCCGACCAGCCACAGCCCCAGAGAAACCUCUUAAUUCCAGCUUU